rnacentral:rRNA from 1 species
CAUAGGUUAAUGAGGCGAACCGGGGGAACUGAAACAUCUAAGUACCCCGAGGAAAAGAAAUCAACCGAGAUUCCCCCAGUAGCGGCGAGCGAACGGGGAGGAGCCCAGAGCCUGAAUCAGUGUGUGUGUUAGUGGAAGCGUCUGGAAAGGCGCGCGAUACAGGGUGACAGCCCCGUACACAAAAAUGCACAUGCUGUGAGCUCGAUGAGUAGGGCGGGACACGUGGUAUCCUGUCUGAAUAUGGGGGGACCAUCCUCCAAGGCUAAAUACUCCUGACUGACCGAUAGUGAACCAGUACCGUGAGGGAAAGGCGAAAAGAACCCCGGCGAGGGGAGUGAAAAAGAACCUGAAACCGUGUACGUACAAGCAGUGGGAGCCUCUUAAUGGGGUGACUGCGUACCUUUUGUAUAAUGGGUCAGCGACUUAUAUUCUGUAGCAAGGUUAACCGAAUAGGGGAGCCGAAGGGAAACCGAGUCUUAACUGGGCGUUAAGUUGCAGGGUAUAGACCCGAAACCCGGUGAUCUAGCCAUGGGCAGGUUGAAGGUUGGGUAACACUAACUGGAGGACCGAACCGACUAAUGUUGAAAAAUUAGCGGAUGACUUGUGGCUGGGGGUGAAAGGCCAAUCAAACCGGGAGAUAGCUGGUUCUCCCCGAAAGCUAUUUAGGUAGCGCCUCGUGAAUUCAUCUCCGGGGGUAG